GACGAACGCUGGCGGCGUGCUUAACACAUGCAAGUCGAACGGAAAGGCCCUGCUUUUGUGGGGUGCUCGAGUGGCGAACGGGUGAGUAACACGUGAGUAACCUGCCCUUGACUUUGGGAUAACUUCAGGAAACUGGUGCUAAUACCGGAUAGGAGCUCCUGCUGCAUGGUGGGGGUUGGAAAGUUUCGGCGGUUGGGGAUGGACUCGCGGCUUAUCAGCUUGUUGGUGGGGUAGUGGCUUACCAAGGCUUUGACGGGUAGCCGGCCUGAGAGGGUGACCGGCCACAUUGGGACUGGGAUACGGCCCAGACUCCUACGGGAGGCAGCAGUGGGGAAUAUUGCACAAUGGGCGGAAGCCUGAUGCAGCAACGCCGCGUGCGGGAUGACGGCCUUCGGGUUGUAAACCGCUUUCGCCUGUGACGAAGCGUGAGUGACGGUAAUGGGUAAAGAAGCACCGGCUAACUACGUG
rnacentral:rRNA from 1 species